rnacentral:rRNA from 1 species
UACAGAGGGCCCGAGCGUUGUUCGGAUUCAUUGGGCGUAAAGGGUGCGUAGGCGGCGGGGCAAGUCUGAUGUGAAAUCCCGGGGCUCAACCCCGGAACUGCAUUGGAUACUGCAUUGCUAGAGUACUGGAGAGGGAACUGGAAUUUACGGUGUAGCAGUGAAAUGCGUAGAGAUCGUAAGGAAGGCCAGUGGCGAAGGCGAGUUCCUGGACAGUUACUGACGCUGAGGCACGAAGGCCAGGGGAGCAAACGGG